UACGUAGGUGGCAAGCGUUGUCCGGAUUUACUGGGCGUAAAGAGCGCGCAGGCGGUCGUUCAAGUCGCGUGUGAAAGCCCCCGGCUCAACUGGGGAGGGUCACGCGAUACUGAUCGACUCGAAGGCAGGAGAGGGUAGUGGAAUUCCCGGUGUAGUGGUGAAAUGCGUAGAGAUCAGGAAGAACACCCGUGGCGCAAGCGGCCACCUGGCAGAGUUCUGACGCUGAGGCACGAAAGCGUGGGGAGCGAACCGG
rnacentral:rRNA from 1 species